UACGGAGGGUGCAAGCGUUAUCCGGAUUUACUGGGUUUAAAGGGUGCGUAGGUGGGUCUGUAAGUCAGUGGUGAAAUCUUCGAGCUUAACUCGGAAACUGCCAUUGAUACUAUAGGUCUUGAAUAUCCUGGAGGUGAGCGGAAUAUGUCAUGUAGCGGUGAAAUGCUUAGAUAUGACAUAGAACACCGAUUGCGAAGGCAGCUCACUACGGGAUCAUUGACACUGAGGUACGAAAGCGUGGGGAUCAAACAGG
rnacentral:rRNA from 1 species